rnacentral:tRNA from 1 species
UCCCUGGUGGCUCAGAUGGUAAAGUGUCUGCCUACAAUGUGGAAGACCCAGGUUCAAUCCCUGGGUUGGGAA